UCUAAUACCGGAUAACACUCUGUCCCUCAUGGGGCGGGGUUAAAAGCUCCGGCGGUGAAGGAUGAGCCCGCGGCCUAUCAGCUUGUUGGUGGGGUAAUGGCCUACCAAGGCGACGACGGG
rnacentral:rRNA from 3 species